AACGAACGCUGGCGGCAUGCCUAACACAUGCAAGUCGAACGAGACCUUCGGGUCUAGUGGCGCACGGGCGCGUAACGCGUGGGAACCUGCCCUUAGGUUCGGAAUAACUCCCCGAAAGGGGUGCUAAUACCGGAUAAUGUCUUCGGACCAAAGAUUUAUCGCCUUUGGAUGGGCCCGCGUUGGAUUAGCUAGUUGGUAGGGUAAAAGCCUACCAAGGCGACGAUCCAUAGCUGGUCUGAGAGGAUGAUCAGCCACACUGGGACUGAGACACGGCCCAGACUCCUACGGGAGGCAGCAGUGGGGAAUAUUGGACAAUGGGCGAAAGCCUGAUCCAGCAAUGCCGCGUGGGUGAUGAAGGCCUUAGGGUUGUAAAGCUCUUUUACCCGGGAUGAUAAUGACAGUACCGGGAGAAUAAGCUCCGGCUAACUCCGU
rnacentral:rRNA from 1 species